rnacentral:rRNA from 1 species
AUACGUAGGCGGCAGCUACACAUGCAGUCGAACGGCAGCACAGAAGAGCUUGCUCUUUGGGUGGCGAGUGGCGGACGGGUGAGUAAUGUCUGGGAAACUGCCCGAUGGAGGGGGAUAACUACUGGAAACGGUAGCUAAUACCGCAUAACGUCGCAAGACCAAAGUGGGGGACCUUCGGGCCUCACACCAUCGGAUGUGCCCAGAUGGGAUUAGCUAGUAGGUGGGGUAAUGGCUCACCUAGGCGACGAUCCCUAGCUGGUCUGAGAGGAUGACCAGCCACACUGGAACUGAGACACGGUCCAGACUCCUACGGGAGGCAGCAGUGGGGAAUAUUGCACAAUGGGCGCAAGCCUGAUGCAGCCAUGCCGCGUGUAUGAAGAAUGCCUUCGGGUUGUAGCGAGUUCGUUUAAGUCGCC